rnacentral:rRNA from 1 species
UACGAAGGGGGCUAGCGUUGCUCGGAAUUACUGGGCGUAAAGCGCGUGUAGGCUGACCGGAAAGUCGGGCGUGAAAGCCCUGGGCUCAACCCAGGAACUGCACUCGAAACUCCCGGUCUAGAGUGGUGGAGAGGGAAGUGGAAUUCCUGGUGUAGAGGUGAAAUUCGUAGAUAUCAGGAGGAACACCAGUGGCGAAGGCGGCUUCCUGGACACCAACUGACGCUGAGACGCGAAAGCGUGGGGAGCAAACAGG